UACGUAGGGGGCAAGCGUUAUCCGGAUUUACUGGGUGUAAAGGGAGCGUAGACGGCGAGGUAAGUCAGAUGUGAAAGACCGGGGCUCAACUCCGGGAUUGCAUUUGAAACUAUUUUGCUUGAGUGCCGGAGAGGUAAGCGGAAUUCCUAGUGUAGCGGUGAAAUGCGUAGAUAUUAGGAGGAACACCAGUGGCGAAGGCGGCUUACUGGACGGUAACUGACGUUGAGGCUCGAAAGCGUGGGGAGCAAAC
rnacentral:rRNA from 1 species